UCCGUAGGUGGACAGAUAAGUCAGAGGUGAAAUCCUGCAGCUCAACUGUAGAACUGCCUUUGAUACUGUUUGUCUUGAGUUAUUGUGAAGUGGUUAGAAUGUGUAGUGUAGCGGUGAAAUGCAUAGAUAUUACUCAGAAUACCGAUUGCGAAGGCAGAUCACUAACAAUUAACUGACACUGAUGGACGAAAGCGUGGGUAGCGAACAGGAUUAGAUACCCUGGUAGUCCACGCCGUAAACGAUGGUCACUAGCUGUUCGGACUUCGGUCUGAGUGGCUAAGCGAAAGUGAUAAGUGACCCACCUGGGGAGUACGUUCGCAAGAAUGAAACUCAAAGGAAUUGACGGGGGCCCGCACAAGCGGUGGAGCAUGUGGUUUAAUUCGAUGA
rnacentral:rRNA from 1 species